ensembl:snRNA U1 U1 spliceosomal RNA
AUACUGACCUGGCAGGGGAAAUGCCAUGAUUAACAAUAUGUUUAUCCAAGGUGUGGCUUAACCAGCAUACCCCAGAUGUGCCAAACCCUGUGAGUUUGGGAAACUUGGCUGCAUAAUUUGUGGUAGUGGAGGGGAUUGUGUUUGUGCACUCUCCUA